UACGUAGGGGGCAAGCGUUAUCCGGAAUCAUUGGGCGUAAAGAGCGUGUAGGCGGCCAGAUAAGUCCGCUGUGAAAUCUCGAGGCUCAACUUCGAGCUGUCGGUGGAAACUGUCUGGCUAGAGUCCGGAAGAGGAGAAUGGAAUUCCUGGUGUAGCGGUGAAAUGCGCAGAUAUCAGGAAGAACACCCGUGGCGAAGGCGGUUCUCUGGGACGGUACUGACGCUGAGACGCGAAAGCGUGGGGAGCGAACAGG
rnacentral:rRNA from 1 species